AGUGAUGUCGGGAUGGUGGUGAUUCAUCAUGGAACUCCAGGACCUGGGCAAGAGGGGGCAUGGAGUUUCAGAGAAGGGGACUCUCUGUCCCAGAGCAAGUGAAGGCUGUGGCAUCAGAAGAGGGAGGCCAUGCCAGAAGCAUUCAGAAAGAAGGACAUGAUGUGAAGCUCCAGGUCUGGGCUGGGAACAGCUGCCUCAGGAAAGGAGGGCUGACUUCAGAACCCAGAGUCUGGGCCUUAAUCCCUGGAUUUGCUGCCUUUGCUCCUUGUGUGAUCACAGCAGACUCAGUUAACCUCUCUGACCUUUGGUUUCGUAUCUUAAAAGGUCCACGCUGGGUGGUCAUUGGAGAGUUCGCCGCUGCUGACCAGCUGGCCGUCAGUCCUGGAGCACCGAGAGGAGUGGAGGAUGCACAAGGACUGUAGUGGAGACGCUGCUGUCCCCCUCCCCUGAGCCCACUGGGACCUCUGGCUUUGCUGGCUGCGUGUGGUCCUGCCACACACUGACUGGCUCCCACUCCCAUGGGGCUAUGCCAAGAUGAGGACACCGAGGCACAGAGAGAUUAAGUGACUUGCUGCAGGUCACACAGCUGGUGAGGAGGGGAGCCAGCAUCUGAGCUCCAGGUCCCGCGUCUCCCUAGGCCAGCAUCUGAGCUCCAGGUCCCGCGUCUCCCUAGACUGAACACACCUGGGACCAGGUAGGCGGGGCUGGAGAACGAGAGCACUCCAGCCAGAUGGAAUUGAAGACACAAAUGCUGAAUCUAUUCGUCGUCUCUUUGGAGACAACUUGC